CUAUUUAACGCAACAUCGUGUGUAUCUAAAUGCCAGUGUGUGAAAUUGCAUUAACGAGAUACUUCAGUACGAGCUGUGGUCCUGAUAUAGAUUUUAUGCAUUCCAUGGAUUCACCGUGCAGGUGCCGGGUCCAUCGCGUUGCAGCGAGAGGAGCUCCUACAGUGCCUGGGACUUGCGACCCAGGUGUAGAUUUUCAAACGAGCUGACGGCAUACUUGGUGGGCAGUAGUGACCGUCGCCCAUGGACCGUCGCCCAUGGACCGUCGCCCAUGGACAUGGAAAAAAAAUCUAUUAAUAAUUUAAUACGAUUACAUACUAAAUUCGUAUAUUUUUAUCAAAUGAUUUUGGUUUAAUGUAAUAUUUUUAUAUAUUUAUAACCAGUUAGGUUAUGUGUUAUACGAAAUUGAAAUUUCAAAUGUCUAUAUAAUGGUGGCUUUUCUGUUGGUAUAAUGUCAUUUAAAUAAUUCUUAUAACUUUUUUUCUUUUCAGCUGAAAUAAGAUAUUGAGAAUUAUAUUUACUAUACUAGAAUGGGAGGUAGAGCAUAAAUUAUAGUAAAAGUAACUGAGUAAGCUUUACUCCGAGCUGAUGUUCUAGACAUAUACGACCUUUUACGAUGCAUAUACCAUUCUUAUGGUUCAAUUGGACAUAACCUAUAGCCUUGUCACCGUAACUCUCA